CGCCGGGCCGUGUCUGGGAUAGGGUGUGGAGAAGAUUCUAGGUUCUGGGACGGGGACGGAGAAGAGAACAGGGGCUCUUCCGCGAGGAUGCGGUAGGGGGACCUGGGUUCGGCAAGUGGGGAUGGAGUCUGGUCUCAGAGGAGGCGGGACGCGGAGGGUGGCCCCAGGGCCCCGAGGAGAGUGACGGUGGAGAGGAGAGAGCGGUGGGAGGAAAGCGAUGAGGCGAUGUGGGUGAGGAGACAACUACUGAAGUAUUUAAAAGUGAAGUGAUUAUUUUGGGGAUUUGUUUUUUAAAAUUUCACAAGGAAAAAGUGAGUGAGCAUGGAAAUGGAUUUGUCAAGCAAAUGACACCUGUUACCAACUCCAGGGGAGGAGUCCUACUGCAUGGAGGAUAGCAAAUAGCUGAAGAAUGCCUGCCACCAAGAGCAGCAAUCCCAGAAUGUCUACUCCUUGGUUUGUACAUGCCAGGGUUGCCAAGAGAGACACAACUCACGUAGGCACUGGAUGGAACAACACUUUACUCACAUAGGGAAGAAACAGCAAGAUCAGCUUCAGUAGUGGGCAUUGGUCCCCCAUGGCUUAAGAAGAGUUUAAACGCAAAUGAGAAAUCAAGAAAGAUUGAAGAAUCUGGGUUU
rnacentral:lncRNA from 1 species